rnacentral:rRNA from 1 species
UGGGGAAUAUUGCACCAUGGGCGCAAGCCUGAUGCAGCCCUGCCGCGGGUAUGAAGAAGGCCUUCGGGUUGUAAAGUACUUUCAGCGGGGAGGAAGGGAGUAAAGUUAAUACCUUUGCUCAUUGACGUUACCCGCAGAAGUAGCACCGUCUAACUCCGUGCCAGCAGCCGCGGUAAUACGGAGGGUGCAAGCGUUAAUCGGAAUUACUGGGCGUAAAGCGCACGCAGGCGGUCUGUCAAGUCGGAUGUGAAAUCCCCGUGCGCAACCUGGGAACUGCAUUCGAAACGGGAGGGCUAGAGGCUUGUAGAGGUGGGUAGAAUUCCAGGUGUAGCGGUGAAAUGCGUAGAGAUCUGGAGGAAUACCGGUGGCGAAGGCGGCCCCCUGGACAAAGACUGACGCUCAGGUGCGAAAGCGUGGGGAGCAAACAGG